ACAAGAAAAAAUUAAAAGCCAGAGACAGCAGGUGCAUUAAUUGCUUAAUCUCCUGCCGAGGUUUACACAAAAAUUAUUGGUUGAUUCUACAGCCUUUGACUAUGGAUGCGAUAACGCAUCCUGUGUAAAUUACUUGUAAAACCCUGGCUAAACCUAAAACAGCCAGGGUUAAUUGUUUUUAGCU
rfam:Calothrix sp. PCC 6303, complete genome.